rnacentral:rRNA from 1 species
GACGAACGCUGGCGGCGUGCCUAACACAUGCAAGUCGAACGAACUCUUCGGAGUUAGUGGCGGCCGGGUUUGUAACCCGUGGGAACGUUCCUUUUGGUUCGGCCUAACUCAGGGAAACUUAUGCUAAUACCGAAUGUGCCCUUCGGGGGAAAGAUUUAUCGCCAUUAGAGCUUCCCGCGUCUGAUUAGCUUGUUGUUGAGGUAACGGCUCACCAAGGCGACGAUCAGUAGCUGGUCUGAGAGGAUGACCAGCGACACUUCGACUGAGACACGGCCCAGACUCCUACGGGAGGCAGCAGUGGGGAACCUAGCGCAAUGGGCGAAAGCAUGACGCAGCCAGGCCGGGUGAACGAUGAAGGUCGUAGGAUUGUAAAAUUCUUUCAACGGGGACGAUAAUGACGGUACCCGGAGAAGAAGCCACGGCUAACUUCGUG